rnacentral:rRNA from 1 species
UGCGGACAGUGUCUGGUGGGUAGUUUGACUGGGGCGGUCUCCUCCUAAAGAGUAACGGAGGAGCACGAAGGUUGGCUAAUCCUGGUCGGACAUCAGGAGGUUAGUGCAAUGGCAUAAGCCAGCUUGACUGCGAGCGUGACGGCGCGAGCAGGUGCGAAAGCAGGUCAUAGUGAUCCGGUGGUUCUGAAUGGAAGGGCCAUCGCUCAACGGAUAAAAGGUACUCCGGGGAUAACAGGCUGAUACCGCCCAAGAGUUCAUAUCGACGGCGGUGUUUGGCACCUCGAUGUCGGCUCAUCACAUCCUGGGGCUGAAGUAGGUCCCAAGGGUAUGGCUGUUCGCCAUUUAAAGUGGUACGCGAGCUGGGUUUAGAACGUCGUGAGACAGUUCGGUCCCUAUCUGCCGUGGGCGCUGGAGAACUGAGGGGGGCUGCUCCUAGUACGAGAGGACCGGAGUGGACGCAUCACUGGUGUUCGGGUUGUCAUGCCAAUGGCACUGCCCGGUAGCUAAAUGCGGAAGAGAUAAGUGCUGAAAGCAUCUAAGCACGAAACUUGCCCCGAGAUGAGUUCUCCCUGACUCCUUGAGAGUCCUGAAGGAACGUUGAAGACGACGACGUUGAUAGGCCGGGUGUGUAAGCGCAGCGAUGC